rnacentral:rRNA from 1 species
AGAGUUUGAUCCUGGCUCAGAAUCAACGCUGGCGGCGUGCCUCAGACAUGCAAGUCGAACGAUUAAGACUCUCUUCGGAGAGUGUAUAGAGUGGCGCACGGGUGAGUAACACGUAGGUAAUUUGCCUUCGGGUGGGGAAUAACUUGGGGAAACCCAAGCUAAUACCGCAUAAUGCAGCGGCACCAAAUGGUGACAGUUGUUAAAGCUUUAUGUGCCUGAAGAGAAGCCUGCGGUGGAUUAGGUAGUUGGUAAGGUAAUGGCUUACCAAGCCUGCGAUCCAUAUCCGGUCUUAGAGGACGGUCGGACACACUGACACUGAAUAACGGGUCAGACUCCCACGGGAGGCAGCAGUCGGGAAUUUUGGGCAAUGGGCGAAAGCCUGACCCAGCAACGCCGCGUGAAGGAUGAAGUCCUUCGGGAUGUAAACUUCGGAAGAAUGGGAAGAAUAAAUGACGGUACCAUUUUUAAGCCCCGGCUAACUCCGUGCCAGCAGCCGCGGUAAUACGGAGGGGGCAAGCGUUGUUCGGAUUUACUGGGCGUAAAGGGCGCGUAGGCGGCGUGACAAGUCACUUGUGAAAUCUCCGGGCUUAACUCGGAACUGCCAAGUGAUACUGUCGUGCUAGAGUGCAGAAGGGGCAAUCGGAAUUCUUGGUGUAGCGGUGAAAUGCGUAGAUAUCAAGAGGAACACCAGAGGCGAAGGCGGAUUGCUGGGCUGACACUGACGCUGAGGCGCGAAAGCUAGGGUAGCAAACGGGAUUAGAUACCCUAGUAGUCC